rnacentral:rRNA from 1 species
CUACGGGGGGCUGCAGUGGGGAAUAUUGCACAAUGGGCGAAAGCCUGAUGCAGCAACGCCGCGUGAGUGAUGAAGGUUUUCGGAUCGUAAAACUCUGUUCUAAGGGAAGAUAAUGACGGUACCUUAGGAGAAAGCCCCGGCUAACUACGUGCCAGCAGCCGCGGUAAUACGUAGGGGGCAAGCGUUAUCCGGAAUUACUGGGCGUAAAGGGUGCGUAGGUGGCCUGACAAGUCAGGGGUCAAAGGCAACGGCUCAACCGUUGUAAGCCCUUGAAACUGUCGGGCUUGAGUUCAGGAGAGGAAAGCGGAAUUCCAAGUGUAGCGGUGAAAUGCGUAGAUAUUUGGAGGAACACCAGUGGCGAAGGCGGCUUUCUGGACUGAUACUGACACUGAGGCACGAAAGCGUGGGGAGCAAACAGGAUUAGAUACCCUUGUAGUC